GCACACACUUGUGUCUUUUCUCUGUUUCUUUUCAACACACACAACUGAUUACAAAGUCUUUUAACAGAGACACUCUCCCUGCUACGUACUGCCUGAUCCGCUAUUUUCUCUCCACUAGUCGGUAGCAUGGCCAUGAGUAACAACCUCUUUGACAUGGCCACACGAUUCAGCCGGCGUCACGCUUAUCUCCUAAUUACUCGGUCCACAUCUAAGCCACUAUCGGCUAUACAACACAUUCAUGCAACGGAAAUACGCGUACGUGCAUGCUACUAACCUGAUGGACGCCCGCACAUGCAUCCAUUCUCUACUGACCUCCUCCCAACUAACUAACUCACUCUAUUAACCAGCUUUGCACUGUGUACGUGAUCAUAACUAGACAUACACAACCUGCCGCAGCUUAGACUAAAUGCAUGACCGAAACUAAUACGACGAAAUAAACAUGAUGAAUACCUAGACAACAAGGUAAACUCAAUCAAUCACCCCCUUAACCUUGUUGUCAUUUAUUCGAACACCUCCAUGUCUAUCUUCAAAGCAACCCCGGCUCGUCGGCGGCGGUCGCGUUGGCGAGAAGCGCCCGCUGCUUCCUUGGCUCGGUGCAGUCCUUGGAGUAAUGCCCGUACUCUUGACAGUUGUAGCAACGCACCUUGCGUAUGUCGAAGUUGCCCUUCUUCUUGCCGGCACCGCUGCGGUGGCGAGCAAGCCACUCCUCCUCCGUGAGGAGCAGGCGGCUCCCACCACCUUGGUCGUAGUUGUUGGCGCCCUCGUUCAAGUCGCUCCGGUCCUCCGCCGUUUGAGCCUUCCCACAAGCUCUUCCAUGGACAUGGUUUUAAGAUCAAGAAGCUGUUCAAUGGCAAUGGCUACCUGGGUAUACUUGGACGGCACAAUGCGGAGAAGAUUCUUCACGACCUUCACCUCGUCAAGGUUCUCGCCGAGCGUGCGCAGCUUGUUGGCGAUCCUGUUCAUGCGCAUGGCGAGCUCAUCGAUGGUCUCGCUGCCCCUCAUGCGGACGGCAUCAAACUCCUUGAGGAGAGUCUGUGCCUUGGCCUCACGGACGCGGGCAUCGCCGACCCGCAGGAUCUUGAUGGCAUCCCAUGCCUCCUUUGCCGUCGCCUUCACGGCAAGCGUGGAGUGCAUCUCCUCCGGCAUGGCUCGCAGGAUUGCCGCAAGCGCCGCCCUGUCCUGGUUGAAUGUCCCGCCUCCCUCGAUGGCGUCCCACACGCGUUGGGCCUCCAUGUUCACCUUCAUGAUCAACGACCACUCGAAGUAGUUUGUCGCCGUCAGUGGCGGGUAGACGACGGUGCUGCUGGCCUGGUGGAUGACUUCCUGCUGCACCACCACCUCGCGGCAGCCAAGCCGCGUCGGGCUUCGGCCUCGGCGCACCACCGGGCCGAGACACGACGGCGACCUGGCGAUGGAGUGCGCGAACCUUCAGUCACCAUGGCUCUGAAUACCAAAUGUUGGCACAGCCCGAGGAGGAAGAAGAAAGGACACACACAAGAGCUUGAGGUAGAAGAAGAGCACAUAGGGAGUUUUGCGGCACCGCACACACUUGUGCCUUUUCUCUGUUUCUUCUCAACACACACAACUGAUUACAAAGUCUUUUAAUAGAGACACACACGUACUACUUCCUGCUACGUACUGCCUGAUCCGCUAUUUUCUCUCCACUAGCCGGUAGCAUGGCCACGAGUAACAACCUCUUUGACAUGGCCACACGAUUCAGCCGGCGUCACGCUUAUCUCCUAAUUACUCGGUCCACAUCUAAGCCACUAUGGGCUAUACAACACAUUCAUGUAACGGAAAUACGCGUACGUGCAUGCUACUAAUCUGAUGGACGCCCGCACAAGCAUCCAUUCUCUACUGACUUCCUCCCAACUAACUAACUCACUCUACUAACCAGCUUUGCACUGUGUACGUGAUCACAACUAGACAUACACAACCUGCCGCAGCUUAGACUAAAUGCAUGACCGAAACUAAUACGACGAAAUAAACAUGAUGAAUACC
rnacentral:lncRNA from 1 species